rnacentral:rRNA from 1 species
GACGAACCGUGCGAACGUUGUUCGGAAUCACUGGGCGUAAAGGGUGCGCAGGCGGUCGGGUGUGUCAGAUGUGAAAUCCCGAGGCUCAACCUCGGAACUGCGUCUGAAACUACUCGACUAGAGUACUGGAGAGGGUAACGGAAUUCACGGUGUAGCAGUGAAAUGCGUAGAUAUCGUGAGGAACACCAGAGGCGAAGGCGGUUACCUGGACAGUUACUGACGCUCAGGCACGAAAGCAUGGGGAGCAAAAGGG